CUCAGUACUUACCACACACUGCUGCUGGAAGAGUUGUGCUGCCGAGAAUAGAUACCGCUGCUCUACAGAUUGAUGUUCUGGCAAGCUGUUAGAUGCCAUGUGAGCUGGAGCUGCUGUUAAGCCAAAGCAGUUUGCAGAGGGAUUUGGAACAGAACAUUGACGGGAAUCAACGUGAGUCAGCCAGGAUCGCAGUGAUGCCAGCCCAGCUGCCGAACAGUCAGAGGGGAAGCACAUGCUUUACUUUGGUAGACUCAGAAACCUGAGACGACUCACAAGACGGUAUUUCAGCAAGAGAAAUAGGCAGUGAGAAUUCAUCAAGAAAGCAUCACUACCUGGGUAAAUUAAAACCAGGUGCUGCCUCCCACCACAAGGUGACGCUGUUCAGGUCUGAACACGGCUUGUCGGCAGCUUCCUGCAACGCUGUCAACACUCCGGAUCCAAAAUGUUUCCUGACGUCCACAAUCUUCUCUUUCAAAAGUAACAGCAAGGUUUGAUUCACUCCCCCCACCUCGGCCCCCCAGCUGCAUAUUCUCACUUCCCUGCACUCCUCCCCUCCCUGGUACAUGGACCAUUCACACAGAAUGUGGAAACACUUUGUUCACCUGGCCUGCAAAUUAACCUGGAGUGUGACUGAAAGGAAACAAAUCUGUUGUGUUUAGUUACAUGACCAUAGUGUGAGCCUGUGGCUGGUGUUUCCUCUGGCUUUUCCCUUUUUGUUUAACCCCCAUCCAUCUAACCAGGAGUGGUCCCGAAAUGGCACAGCCAGAUAUCUGUGUGGUGUGGAUGUGUUUACACUGAGAACAGAGCAGAAACCACUUUUGACCAUCAUUUAAAUCUGUUGGUGAAGUUAAUGCAACAUAUCCCAAUUGCUAAACGUGCGCCUAGAAAAAUCUGUCUCGGUACCUUUGGCACCGAGCCCAGAGUCGCUCACCUACCCCUGAAGCAUGUGUAGACACAGACAGACCAGGGUCUCAAAAGGGACCACUCCAGCUACAGAGAGCAACCUCAGCAGACACUCAACUUCAGGGAGUCUUCAGUUACAUUCGGCCCUAAAGGAGACUGUGGAAGUGACAAAAGAAGGCCUGCCGACGGUGUGGGGGAGGAGACAGCUGCCCCCCAGCCAGCGAUUCAAAAGGGCCCAAGGCUCUCAGCUACUGCUGCCACUACCUAGCGGUCGCAGCUGAGAUCCUUUAAAUUGUCACUGAGUGCCAGGCAGCUGCUCCAGGUGGCACUGAAGGGCAGCCAGGGGAGUCUAGCCCCACCCUUUUUGCCCGAGGUUCCCCAUCGCCUAUCUGGGAGCAUGGAGCUGCCCACCCGCAACCCAGCCCAUGGGCCUGGCAGUUCUGCUUUGCGGUGUGUGGACAAUGAAACAAGGCCGAUGAACUCGGUUAAAGGCUGUUGCAUCAUAAUUCCAAACAGAAUGGAAUCCUGAACCUCAUCCAUGGCCAUCAAGGCCUAAUUAAAUGCCACGAAUGGGCCAACCCGUCAGUGGCUAGGCCUCAGCAAGAAGCUCUGAUUUAUUUUACCUUCGUGUGAACGUUGCAGCACUAGCACACCAACACGACGGCAAUGCCCUGAAAGAACAACAAAUGAUCAGCUGGACUUCCGAAGAGACUAGUUACAGGACUAUGCACUUUCAAAGAUCACCAUCACCCCUGUUUUUCCCCAGGGAUGUGGAAAUAAUGCACUUGAAAGAGAUCAAAUGUUGGAAUGUUACAGAGAAACUGCAGUGCAAUUUUGUUCACAUUUAGUGUUUUUCGUGAAAGGCCGGUUGCAGAAUUUGCCGUUCCAGAUGAAAUAUGAUGCCAGCCAUGUUACUGGCAGCCCAUGUUACCACCAAGCAAAUGGAGAGAUGGAGGGAGGGCUACAGAUAUUGAAGAAAAUCCUGUAGCAGAAAGCUCCAUUCUUUGCUCUUCUGAAUUACAGACCAGCACCAGACAGUUCAGCACAACUCAUGAUAGGAGGAUGACUCCAGUUCUUUUCCUCGGGCUGAGCAGCAGCUUUCCCCAAAGUGGUCCUGCCUGAGGGCAGGGGCCAAAUCGGACAAUAGGGCCCAAGGAGCUCAGAACACUUUCACAAGAGAUGUCACUCCAUUAAAGCACUACCAAGACUAGAACCUGGUGCAGGUGUUUUUGUCAUAUUAGAUGGGGAAAAGAGAUGGGCAACGCCAGCUGUCAUAAAGAAGAAUUCAGCGCCCAGAUUAUAGGUGAUUAAGACCAACGCUGUAGAGUUCAACAUAAGCCAUCGACAUCUACAGUUUGAUUUAGGGAUGUAAUAGUGUAAUUGAUUAAGCGAUAAGUGAAAGCUUAUAGGUUAAUGCUAUAGACUACUUGCA